ACUCCCGUAAUUUUUCUAUAUGUGCCGUGAAGGGUACAUACGAACAUAUAUAAGACUAUAUUACGCCACUUUUUUUAUUACAAACAACAAGACCAUACAUGCACAGCCAUUAUAGUUAUAAGAAACACAGAGGCCUACACAUGUGACCAUACCAUUGACCGUAUUUAUAAACAACGUCACACUCUUUUUUACUUCAUCUUUGGCGCUUUAGUUUACAUUUGGGGUGUUGAGCUCGUCCCAUGCUUCGGUCCAAGUGACCAUUCCAUCUGCAAACUUGAUGAAGUAAGGAUCCACUUUUCCAAGUUUCUGACGAGCUUAGCUAGCUCGAGGUAGCAUUGCUUCACCGAAGUGCAUUCUUUUGGUAGUGUCACUGAUUGGAAGAAAGGGCCAGAAUUGCAAAAUCCCCAAAACCCACCAUUGGAGAGAAUGAUUGUUCUUAUCGCCGGAUCUUGUUGACGACGGCGAGCUUGAUUCCGACGAUGAGCACGACCACGACGGUGGAGUUGGGCACGGCGGGGAGGAGACGGCUUGGACCAUAGAUCCCGUGGUGGAGAAUUGCGACAAGCUUGGAAUGGUGGUCACGGCUGCUUGACGACGCGGCGAGCCUGUUACAGUGCAACGGAGAAGGAGACCACGAGAUGAGAGCACGACACCGGGGCGAAGCUCGAACCCAACAGGCGAUGGAGAUUUGACGUCAUGGAUAAAGCUUGGUCGCGGAGAAGCUUCGCGGAAGGAUCCAGCCGCGGCCAUGAACUCGUCGCAGCAAUGCCCCAGGCCGCAAGCAACGUUUGCAGGCAAACGAUGACCGGGUUUCGCACGCGACCGUCGCAGGAAGAAGCUGACCGCGGCAAAGUAACGGCGAAACGAACCUUAACCGCAACCAUCCUUUGCGAGCAAGUCAUGACCGCGGCCGUGUGUCGUCGAAAGUGUCCAGUUGAUUUUGCGGUGUAUGAUCGCAUGAUGUAGUGGUCGCGGGUAAAGACCGCAGGCUGGAGACGGUUGCGGCCGAGACAUUAUAUUGCUUUGAUCCAUCAGACAUUAUACCGCAGGCUGGGUCAGCCCAAGAUUGUUGGGUUUAGACCUAAGGAAUGGAAUAUCUGGUUAUCUAUCAAAUCAAAAACCAUUUUGGAAUAAAAAUAAUCUUGUUUUA